AGAGUUUGAUUAUGGCUCAGGAUGAACGCUAGCUACAGGCUUAACACAUGCAAGUCGAGGGGUAGCAGGGUAGCAAUACCGCUGACGACCGGCGCACGGGUGAGUAACACGUAUCCAACCUUCCCAUAACUCAGGGAUAGCCUUUCGAAAGAAAGAUUAAUACCUGAUAGUACUUUUUCAAGGCAUCUUGAGAAAGUUAAAGAUUUAUUGGUUAUGGAUGGGGAUGCGUUCCAUUAGAUAGUUGGUGAGGUAACGGCUCACCAAGUCUUCGAUGGAUAGGGGUUCUGAGAGGAAGGUCCCCCACAUUGGUACUGAGACACGGACCAAACUCCUACGGGAGGCAGCAGUGAGGAAUAUUGGUCAAUGGGCGAGAGCCUGAACCAGCCAAGUAGCGUGAAGGAUGAAGGUCCUAUGGAUUGUAAACUUCUUUUAUAGUAGAAUAAAGUGAUCCACGUGUGGAUUUUUGUAUGUAUACUAUGAAUAAGGAUCGGCUAACUCCGUGCCAGCAGCCGC
rnacentral:rRNA from 1 species